CACACGCCCAUAUUUUGCUCCAUUGCUGUUUAUUUCACACCUCAAACAUUUAGUGAACAAUUAAGCAAAUACAAGUAAUCUGCAGGAAGUAAUAACAUAAACUACUAACUCUGUCACGCUGCGUCCGCACCUACACGGGUGAUUUUGAACACGCAGCUGUUUCGUCCACGUAAACGAUAUUUCGAUUCACCGAAAACAGAUUUUUUAAAACUCCUUUUUUUGCGUUUCCGUGUGGACGAGGAAUACAGAGUUCGUCACGCAGCGUCAAAGAUGUUUCCCUUGAGGAGUCUCAUUCAUGGCUUUUAACCAGGAGCUCAGUGCAACAUUUACUUUCACCUCAUGUCAACAUGUGAUGGAGUGCCAUACAAAUCUUUCUGAUGAGGUCUUUCAGGUCCUGGACAUGAUACAGUUUAUCUGUUGAAGAUGAAGUUUUUGAGGCCUGUCAAUUCUUUCUCUUCUCUUUUUCUCCAGUUUCCUUCAAAUAUUUUAAGAACACAAUGUCUAUCUUUUUAAAAAAAUAUAGAUUGAAUAAAAGAAAUCCUAACACAUAACUGCAACAGGCUGUUAGUAACAAAAUGCCUGAAGAUGCUAUUUCAAAUCGGUUGUUUGUUUAUUUCUCUUUCAUGUGUAGACACAUCAUCGUGCCCAGGUCAUUUAUUUCUGAGUUGCGCAUGCGUUGAGCCUGUGAGCGCUAUCUACUG
ensembl:lncRNA